rnacentral:rRNA from 1 species
AUGGCUAAAAAUCAAAAAAUCCCAUCCCCAGCCUCCUUCUGCUCAGCCAUGGCGGAGGAGACCGCGGCUGCUCCGCUGCGCCUCCUGUCCGUAGCUACCGCCGCCGCGACCACCGGCGCCAUGAUCAAGCUCGCAACAAUGGCUGGAGGGGCGUUAGGCUUCUGGAAUGACUGGGCGUCCCAGAUCUCGGUUCUCUUGAGCCUCUUCUUCCAGGUGUUACUCCAUAUAUUUGCUAACAUCCGUCGGCGUAAAGACGGCUCAUCUUGGCUGAGGGUCCCCCUCUGGGUGGCGUACCAGCUGUCUGACUCCACUGCGACAUACGCCGCCGGCCAGCUCCUCUUCAGCGGGGCAACAAAAGACCACCACCUCAUUGCCUUCUGGGUGCCGUUCCUCCUGUUGCACCUCGGCGGCCCGGAUAACAUCACCGCCUACGCCCUCGAGGAUAGCAAGCUCUGGGGGCGCCACUUGCUAAGCCUUGUGGUGCAGGUCCUGGCAGCUGCAAUUGUCCUAUACAGGCAUAUCGUCGGCGGCGGGACCUUGCUCAUGGUGGCUGCCAUCUUGAUAUUCGUUGUCGGCACUGAAAGUAUGUGGAGAGGACAUGUGCUCUCUGGUCCGCCAAGUUCAGCAUCCUCCAGAGCUCUCUCAAGUGGAUGA